rnacentral:rRNA from 1 species
GCGGUUUGGGAUCAUUAUGCCAGCAUCCUUGAUAAAAUCGCAGUCCUCGGUCUAGGCAGGCAGCAUCAACGCAGGCUAUAACACUUCACCGAAGCAAAGUCACAUUCCUACGCCAUUAUCCUACCGCCCAAACCGAUGCUGGCCCGAUAAGCUGCGGGUCACCCCGCCACGAAGGCAAGGCUCACAAAAUAUCGAGUCUGAUCUCAAACCCUUCCCUUUCAACAAUUUCACGUACUUUUUCACUCUCUUUUCAAAGUUCUUUUCAUCUUUCCAUCACUGUACUUGUUCGCUAUCGGUCUCUCGCCAAUAUUUAGCUUUAGAUGGAAUUUACCACCCACUUAGAGCUGCAUUCCCAAACAACUGGACUCUUCGAAAGCACCUUACAUAGGAUUGGGCAUCUCAUCGCACGGGAUUCUCACCCUCUGUGACGUCCUGUUCCAAGAAACAUAGACAAGAGCCAACCCCAAGGUUACAAUCUUCAAAUUACAACUCGGACACCGAAGGUGCCAGAUUUCAAAUUUGAGCUUUUGCCGCUUCACUCGCCGCUACUAAGGCAAUCCCUGUUGGUUU